rnacentral:rRNA from 1 species
CCCUUAGAUGUUCUGGGCUGCACACGUGCUACACUGGCAGGUUCAGCGAGCUUCAUGCCCUGAUCUGAAAGGAAUGGGAAAUCUUUUCAAAACCUGCCGUGCUUGGGAUAGAUGUUUGCAAUUAUUCAUCUUCAACGAGGAUUGCCUUGUAAGCGCACGUCAUCAGCGUGCAUUGAAUACGACCCUGUAUUCUGUACACACCGCCCGUCGCUCCUACCGAUUGAAGUUUUCGGUGAGGUGACAGGAGGAUUUUUUUGAAACUGGUUCGCCAGUGGAUUUUAGAUCCAAAUGCCAACGAAUCGAUGGCUUUAGAGGAAGGAGAAGUCGUAACA